rnacentral:rRNA from 1 species
GAUGAACGCUGGCGGCGUGCCUAAUACAUGCGAGUCGAGCGAACGGACGAGAAGCUUGCUUCUCUGAUGUUAGCGGCGGACGGGUGAGUAACACGUGGAUAACCUACCUAUAAGACUGGGAUAACUUCGGGAAACCGGAGCUAAUACCGGAUAAUAUUUUGAACCGCAUGGUUCAAAAGUGAAAGACGGUCUUGCUGUCACUUAUAGAUGGAUCCGCGCUGCAUUAGCUAGUUGAUAAGGUAACGGCUUACCAAGGCAACGAUGCAUAGCCGACCUGAGAGGGUGAUCGGCCACACUGGAACUGAGACACGGUCCAGACUCCUACGGGAGGCAGCAGUAGGGAAUCUUCCGCAAUGGGCGAAAGCCUGACGGAGCAACGCCGCGUGAGUGAUGAAGGUCUUCGGAUCGUAAAACUCUGUUAUUAGGGAAGAACAUAUGUGUAAGUAACUGUGCACAUCUUGACGGUACCUAAUCAGAAAGCCACGGCUAACUACGUG